AUGCUUUGAAGAAUCCUGGAAAUUGAUCUCCAAAAGCUUCUGUUCUAAAAGCUGACGUCCGGAAAAAAUCCCUGGUAGUUGUGUAGCAUUGAAGCAUCGGUCAGGUUUUUUUUCUUAUGGUGCACUUUUGAAACAUUGUGCCAGAGACAUCAAGAUCACCCUUACAAGAACUUGGAUGGCGAGCCCCAGCCCAGAGGACCAAGUGAACUGGUACACGGUGACCCGACUGGUCACCAGCCGUGAAACAUAAAUAAAUAUUUCACAGACACAUUGGAAAGACUAAACAAACUUUGAAAGAACAUUUGACAGACACAU